rnacentral:rRNA from 1 species
CCCCUAGACGUUCUGGGCUGCACGCGCGCUACACUGGUGCGUUCAGCGAGUUUAGCACCUUAACAGAUAUGUUUGGGUAAUCUUCUGAAAACGCACCGUGAUGGGGAUCGAUUAUUGUAAUUAUUAAUCGUCAACGAGGAAUUCCUAGUAAGUGUGAAUCAUCAGUUCGCGCUGAUUACGUCCCUGCCCUUUGUACACACCGCCCGUCGCUGCUACCGAUUGAGUGGUCCGGUGAAUUAUUCGGACCGGUGGACUGUGGGGAAACCCGCGGCCUGCUGGGAAGUCUUGUGAACCUUAUCACUUAGAGGAAGCAGAAGUCGUAACA